rnacentral:rRNA from 1 species
UACGGAGGAUCCAAGCGUUAUCCGGAUUUAUUGGGUUUAAAGGGAGCGUAGGCGGCCUAUUAAGUCAGGGGUGAAAGACGGCAGCUUAACUGUCGCAGUGCCUUUGAUACUGAUAGGCUUGAAUGUAGUUGAGGUGGGCGGAAUGUGACAAGUAGCGGUGAAAUGCAUAGAUAUGUCACAGAACACCGAUUGCGAAGGCAGCUCACUAUGGUCAAAUUGACGCUGAGGCACGAAAGCGUGGGGAUCAAACAGG